AUUGAACGCUGGCGGCAUGCUUUACACAUGCAAGUCGAACGGUAACAGGCCGCAAGGUGCUGACGAGUGGCGAACGGGUGAGUAAUGCAUCGGAACGUGCCCAGUCGUGGGGGAUAACUACUCGAAAGAGUAGCUAAUACCGCAUACGAUCUAUGGAUGAAAGCGGGGGACCGUAAGGCCUCGCGCGAUUGGAGCGGCCGAUGUCAGAUUAGGUAGUUGGUGGGGUAAAGGCUCACCAAGCCAACGAUCUGUAGCUGGUCUGAGAGGACGACCAGCCACACUGGGACUGAGACACGGCCCAGACUCCUACGGGAGGCAGCAGUGGGGAAUUUUUGACAAUGGGCGCAAGCCUGAUCCAGCAAUGCCGCGGGCAGGAAGAAGGCCUUCGGGUUGUAAACUGCUUUUGUACGGAACGAAACGGCUCUGGUUAAUACCCGGGGCUAAUGACGGUACCGUAAGAAUAAGCACCGGCUAACUACGU
rnacentral:rRNA from 1 species